rnacentral:rRNA from 1 species
GCGAGAGCAAAGUGAGAAUCUUUGCCGUCGAAAGCCUAAGGUUUCCUGAGGAAGGCUCGUCCUCUCAGGGUAAGUCGGGACCUAAGCCGAGGACAAGAGUCGUAGGCGAUGGACAACAGGUUGAUAUUCCUGUACCGUACUUAAGCGUUUGACUGAAGCAGUGACACAGAAGGAUAGACAGACCGGGGGAAUGGUAGACUCCGGCCAAGCAGUGAGGCUGACAUGUAGUGAAGUACGCAUGUUAAGGCUGGGCUGUGAUGGGGACUGAAGAUUAGUAAGGAAGCUGUUGAAUUCACACUGGCGAGAAAAGCUGCUAAGGAGCGAGAGUAUGCCCGUACCGCAAACCGACACAGGUAGGCGAGGAGAGAAUCCUAAGACGAGCGGGAGAACCCUUGUUAAGGAACUCGGCAAAAUGACUCCGUAACUUAGGGAGAAGGAGUGCCUCGAGAGAGGCCGCAGAGAAUAGGCCCAAGCGACUGUUUACCAAAAACACAGGUCUGUGCGAAGUAGAGAUACGACGUAUACGGGCUGACGCCUGCCCAGUGCCGGAAGGUUAAGGGGAAGUGUUAGGGCAACCGAAGCACGGAACUUAAGCCCCGGUGAACGGCGGCCGUAACUAUAACGGUCCUAAGGUAGCGAAAUUCCUUGUCGGGUAAGUUCCGACCCGCACGAAUGGCGUAACGACUUGGGCACUGUCUCAACAAGGGACCCGGCGAAAUUGUAGUAUGUGUGAAGAUGCACAUUACCCGCGAUAGGACGGAAAGACCCCGUAGAGCUUUACUGUAGUUUAACAUUGGAUUUUGAUAACACAUGUACAGGAUAGGUGGGAGGCUGAGAAACCGGCACGCCAGUGCCGAUGGAGCCGCUGUUGGGAUACCACUCUUGUGUUAUUGGAGUUCUAACGAAGUGCCGUAAACCGGGCUUCGGACAGUGUUAGAUGGGCAGUUUGACUGGGGCGGUCGCCUCCGAAAGAGUAACGGAGGCGUCCAAAGGUUCCCUCAGAAUGGUUGGAAACCAUUCGCAGAGUGCAAAGGCAGAAGGGAGCUUGACUGCGAGACCGACAGGUCGAGCAGGUACGAAAGUAGGGCUUAGUGAUCCGGCGGUAUGAGAGUGGAAUUGCCGUCGCUCAACGGAUAAAAGCUACCUCGGGGAUAACAGGCUGAUCUCCCCCAAGAGUUCACAUCGACGGGGAGGUUUGGCAC